rnacentral:rRNA from 1 species
GAUGAACGCUGGCGGCGUGCUUAACACAUGCAAGUCGAACGAAGUGUUUAUUCAAAGUUCUUCGGGUUAGUGACUAAAUUACUUAGUGGCGGACGGGUGAGUAGCGCGUGGCUAACCUGCCUCACACAGGGGGAUAGCAGUUGGAAACGACUGCUAAUAUCGCAUAAGACCACCGUACGGCAUGGUGCAGGGUUAAAAGUCUUAUCGCUGUGAGAUGGAUCUGCGUCGGAUUAGAUAGUUGGUAGGGUAUCAGCCUACCAAGUCAACGAUCAGUAGCCGAGAGGGGAGGGUGAUAGGCUACGAUGGGGCUGUGACACAGACCAAUAUCCUACGCAACGGAGCAGUAGAGAAUAUUGCAAAAUGGGGCGAGCCCUGAUACAGCAACGCCGCGUAAGUGAAGAAGUAAGUCGGUAUGCAAAGCUGUAUCAGAAGUGAAGAAAAUGACGGUACCUGACUAAGAAGCCCCGGCUAACUACGUG